GACGAACGCUGGCGGCGUGCUUAACACAUGCAAGUCGAACGGUAAGGCCCUUCGGGGUACACGAGUGGCGAACGGGUGAGUAACACGUGGGUGAUCUGCCCUGCACUUCGGGAUAAGCCUGGUAAACUGGGUCUAAUACCGGAUAGGACUCCGGACUGCAUGGUCUGGGGUGGAAAGCUUUUGCGGUGUGGGAUGGGCCCGCGGCCUAUCAGCUUGCUGGUGGGGUGAUGGCCUACCAAGGCGACGACGGGUAGCCGGCCUGAGAGGGUGACCGGCCACACUGGGACUGUGCUACGGCCGAGACUCCUACGGGAGGCAGAAGUGGGGAAUGUUGCACAAUGGGCGCAAGCCUGAUGCAGCGACGCCGCGUGAGGGAUGACGGCCUUCGGAUUGUAAACCUCUUUCACCAGGGACGAAGCGCAAGUGACGGUACCUGGAGAAGAAGCACCGGCCAACUACGUGCCAGCAGCCGCGGUAA
rnacentral:rRNA from 1 species